rnacentral:rRNA from 1 species
UGGGGAAUAUUGGACAAUGGGCGAAAGCCUGAUCCAGCCAUGCCGCGUGUGUGAAGAAGGUCUUCGGAUUGUAAAGCACUUUAAGUUGGGAGGAAGGGCAUUAACCUAAUACGUUAGUGUUUUGACGUUACCGACAGAAUAAGCACCGGCUAACUCUGUGCCAGCAGCCGCGGUAAUACAGAGGGUGCAAGCGCUAAUCGGAAUUACUGGGCGUAAAGCGCGCGUAGGUGGUUUGUUAAGUUGGAUGUGAAAUCCCCGGGCUCAACCUGGGAACUGCAUUCAAAACUGACUGACUAGAGUAUGGUAGAGGGUGGUGGAAUUUCCUGUGUAGCGGUGAAAUGCGUAGAUAUAGGAAGGAACACCAGUGGCGAAGGCGACCACCUGGACUAAUACUGACACUGAGGUGCGAAAGCGUGGGGAGCAAACA